rnacentral:lncRNA from 1 species
AGCUUUUAAACUAAAGAUCAUCCUUUUAUGAGUUUCCUUUUGGUCGUAGGGUGGACCGGAGGGAGUAUUAUACUAUAUCCUCUAUGUGAUGGGCAUAAAAGAAAGCAAUAAUUUUCUAUUACAAAUAUGUAAGUACUUCAGUACAUGAGAAUUAGAAAAGAAAUUAUUAAUUUACAGCAUGGCAAAGCUGCCAUUAUAAGGGAAACUAAAUCAAGGUAGAAGUAUAACACUCAACAGUAUGAAAGCAACAGCAAAGCUGCCGUACAAUAACUGUGUAAUUAGCUUAUUCCAUAAAUUUCCUAACCGCUUAAAUUGAC